rnacentral:rRNA from 1 species
UACGUAGGGUGCGAGCGUUAAUCGGAAUUACUGGGCGUAAAGUGUGCGCAGGCGGUUUCGCAAGUCAAGUGUGAAAGCCCCGGGCUUAACCUGGGAACUGCGUCUGAUACUGGGAGGCUUGAGUAUGGGAGAGGGAUGUAGAAUUCCAGGUGUAGCGGUGAAAUGCGUAGAUAUCUGGAGGAAUACCGGUGGCGAAGGCGGCAUCCUGGACCAUUACUGACGCUGAGGCGCGAAAGCUAGGGGAGCAAACGGG